rnacentral:rRNA from 1 species
ACGAACGCUGGCGGCGUGCUUCACACAUGCAAGUCGAACGGAAAGGCUCCAGCUUGCUGGAGUACUCGAGUGGCGAACGGGUGAGUAACACGUGGGUGAUCUGCCCUGCACUUCGGGAUAAGCCUGGGAAACUGGGUCUAAUACCGGAUAGGACCGCACUUUGGUGUGUGUGGUGGAAAGGUUUUUCUGGUGUGGGAUGAGCUCGCGGCCUAUCAGUUUGUUGGUGGGGUAAUGGCCUACCAAGACGGCGACGGGUAGCCGGCCUGAGAGGGUGGACGGUCACAUUGGGACUGAGAUACGGCCCAGACUCCUACGGGAGGCAGCAGUGGGGAAUAUUGCACAAUGGGGGAAACCCUGAUGCAGCGACGCCGCGUGGGGGAUGAAGGCCUUCGGGUUGUAAACUCCUUUCGCUAGGGACGAAGCUUUUUGUGACGGUACCUGGAGAAGAAGCACCGGCUAACUACGUG